rnacentral:rRNA from 1 species
CCUACGGGCGGCAGCAGUGGGGAAUAUUGGACAAUGGGGGCAACCCUGAUCCAGCCAUGCCGCGUGUGUGAAGAAGGCCCUCGGGUUGUAAAGCACUUUCAGUGAGGAAGAACGCCUGGUGGUUAAUACCCAUCAGGAAAGACAUCACUCACAGAAGAAGCACCGGCUAACUCCGUGCCAGCAGCCGCGGUAAUACGGAGGGUGCGAGCGUUAAUCGGAAUUACUGGGCGUAAAGCGCGCGUAGGUGGCUUGAUAAGCCGGUUGUGAAAGCCCCGGGCUCAACCUGGGAACGGCAUCCGGAACUGUCCAGCUAGAGUGCAGGAGAGGAAGGUAGAAUUCCCGGUGUAGCGGUGAAAUGCGUAGCGAUCGGGAGGAAUACCAGUGGCGAAGGCGGCCUUCUGGACUGACACUGACACUGAGGUGCGAAAGCGUGGGUAGCAAACAGGAUUAGAUACCCUUGUAGUA